rnacentral:lncRNA from 1 species
AUGAUACUUUGGAGUGCCUUGGCAGUCAAUCAGCCUAUCUGCAACAAGCUAUCUUCUGAGGACCUCCAUGUUCAUUAUCUUGACUCUUUCCAACUUCAACACUAUGUGGUAGAGGAAACAGUUUCAAGAAAAGAAAAGAUCUACCUGAGAAAUGUCCUGAGAGUAAUGAAGAAAAACAAAGGCCUCGAAGUCAGUAAACACCAGGUUCAUUAUCAGGAAACUGGAUCAGAAGUGGAGCAGCUGGGACUCAAAUCAGCAUUGCUACAUGAAAUGUCUGCAUCACAAGAAGGCAGCCUAACCCACCGCACCCAAUAACUUUUACUGUUUUAUAGCUAGUUUUGAUUCAUAAUCUCAAAUGAACAAUUAAAAAUAUGAAAUGAUUGGGUUUUUAUCAAUAGUUAGACCAGAUUUUCUUUGUGUCUCCUUCUCCUUUUAUGCACAAAAAGAAAAUUAACAUUUAAUGAUGUCUUUUGUUCUCUACUCUUUGUAUAGUUAAUAGAGUCUUUUGUUUUCAACUCUAAACUGUCUCCAAAGCAUUCUAUAUAUUAAUUUUGCAGAAAGGUUUGUGGAUUUGUAUUAUAUAUGUUGUACAUAUCUUAAAAGUUUUUGACACCUAGUUUUAUUUUAACAUUUAUCCUAUUAAAAAGUCUUGGUUUUAUGUGUUAAAUCUCUUUCUACUUAUGGCUUCUUUUGUGUCAGACAGUACUGCUCUACCUCAAAAUUAAUUCAAUUUCUUUAGUAAUCUUAAAAUUUCAUUCCUACUCUAUAUUAAACACAUCUAGAAUUUAUCUUAUAUGGUAAAAUAGGGAAUCUAAGUUAUUAUUUCCUGAAUGUCAGCCAGUUAUCAGUAUAAAUUAUGAACUAAUCAUUUUUACCAUAGCUUUAAGAUGUCAAUUUUUAAAAAUACUCAAUUCACAUAUAUAUUCAUGAAUACAUAUGAAUUCAGUAAACAUAUACACAUCUGAACUUGCUUCUAGGAAUUUUUUCCAGUUUCAUUGGUAUAUACAUUAACAUUGAGUAUAGUACUUCUUAAUGACUGUUAAAUAAAAUUAAUGUAUGUAUUAAUUAUUAAAUUUUU